AAUGGUGGGGAGGUAGGAGGUGGGGGAGGUUGGAGGUUGGGGGGAAGUAGGAGGUGGGGAAGCAAGAAUAGUGGGGAGGUAGAAGGUGGGGGGCAGGUAGGGCUGGGGGGAGGUUGGGGUAGAGGGUAGGGAGUAGGAGAUGGGGGGGUAGGGGGUAGGGGAUCAAUAAGGUAAAAGCUCGGGCUGCCCCAUCCUUAACACGCACCAGGCCCUGGGCCCAGCUUGAGGGGAAGCCAAGCAAGAUCCCCCAAAACACACAGAAGCAACAAUUAACAAAGGAGUAGCAGAUCCCCAGUAUCUCUGCUCAGCCAUUUCAGAGCUGCAGGCCAGAUUCUAAGCAGUGCUGGAUUGAUUUUCUCUGCAACUCUUUUGAAAAUAGUCAAAACUUGCUAUUUGCAAAAAUGCACAUGAAAGAAGUCAUUGAAGGAACACUCAGAAUAUGGGUAGACUUCCUUACACUUAUUUUAAUAUUAAGUAUUAUUUUCAUUUGAGUUACAUAUAAGGCAGGAUUACAGAAUUUGCUAGGCCUUGAAUCUAAGGGAGACACUGCCAGCGGCCACACUAGUUUCUGCCACACUCAUUUUGGCCUUGUGUCCCCUCCUCCUCUGGCAGUUGUAACCUCUCCUCCCUCUUCCUUCAUGCAGCAGAAAGUAUUUCUCAGGACAAGUCUCUUUACUUUCCCAGAGGACAAUUCUAAAUCAGCUCAUAGAGAGUUAUAAAUGAAGCUUGCUAUUCUUAAAUCCCAGGCUCAUUGGCCUGAUACUUCUCAUUCAAGAAUGAGUGUCUGCUUUUAAAACAGCCUGUUGUUCUUCAAUGCCACUUCUGCAGACACCCCCUGCCCACUCCCCCACUGCCUUUGCCACAAAGUGUUAGAAUGACA
rnacentral:lncRNA from 10 species